rnacentral:rRNA from 1 species
GACGAACGCUGGCGGCGUGCCUAAUACAUGCAAGUAGAACGAGUUGCGAACGGGUGAGUAACGCGUGGUAACCUGCCUUAUAGCGGGGGAUAACUCUUGGAAACGGUAGCUAAUACCGCAUACCAUCAGAUGUGCCCAGAAGUGAUUAGCUAGUCGGUGGGGUAACGGCUAACCUAGGCGACGAUCCCUAGCUGGUCUGAGAGGAGGACCAGCCACACGGGAACUGAGACACGGCCCAGACUCCUACGGGAGGCAGCAGUGGGGAAGAUUGCACAAUGGGCGCAAGCCUGAUGCAGCCAUGCCGCGUGUAUGAAGAAGGCCUUCGGGUUGUAAAGUACUUUCAGCGGGGAGGCGUUACCCGCAGAAGAAGCACCGGCUAACUCCGUGCCAGCAGCCGCGGUAAUAC